rnacentral:ribozyme from 1 species
GCUGCUCGUAAUAAUCACACACCUCUUCGUGGUGAGCAGCAGGCAACGAUUUUAUGGUCGGCGAAGAUGUGAAG